GGUAUAUGUCAUGGCACCUUGACAUAUUGAUAGUUUGGGCACUGGCCAAGGUUGGAGAGACUUCAAGAGCUCGUGAAUUACUCGAGGGUCUGAAGCUCCGACUAUCGAAGAUGAACAAGAAGAAACAACAA